rnacentral:snRNA from 1 species
CUUGGGCGAGAGUAGUACUAGG